GACGAACGCUGGCGGCGUGCUUAACACAUGCAAGUCGAACGCUGAAGACCUGGCUUUUGUUGGGUUGGAUGAGUGGCGAACGGGUGAGUAACACGUGAGUAACCUGCCCUCUUCUUUGGGAUAACUGCCGGAAACGGGUGCUAAUACUGGAUAUUCACUGAUCUUCGCAUGGGGGGUGGUGGAAAGGUCUGUUCUGGUGGGGGAUGGGCUCGCGGCCUAUCCGCUUGUUGGUGGGGUGAUGGCCUACCAAGGCUUGGACGGGUAGCCGGCCUGAGAGGGUGACCGGUCAUCGUGAGACUGAGACACGGCCCAGACUCAUCCGGGAGACAGCAGUGGGGAAUAGUACACAAGGGGCGAACGCAGGAUACAGCGACGCCGCGAGGGAGAGGGGGGCCUUGGGGUUGUACACCUGUGUCGAUCACGGUCGAGCCGCCACUGUUGGUUGGGGUGAGGGUAGUGGGAAAAGAAGCGCCGGCUAACUACGUG
rnacentral:rRNA from 1 species